AACGAACGCUGGCGGCAUGCUUAACACAUGCAAGUCGAACGCUCUGGCUUCGGCCAGGGAGUGGCGCACGGGUGAGUAGCGCGUGGGAACCUGCCCUGUUGUGGGGGAUAACCGAUGGAAACGUCGGCUAAUACCGCAUAAGCCCGGGAAACCGGGGAAAGAUUUAUCGCGACAGGAGGGGCCCGCGUCGGAUUAGCUAGUUGGUGGGGUAACGGCCUACCAAGGCUUUGAUCCGUAGCUGGUCNGAGAGGAUGAUCAGCC
rnacentral:rRNA from 1 species